rnacentral:SRP_RNA from 2 species
GCCAGGCUCAGUGGCAAGUCCCUGUAGUCCCAGCUACUCGGGAGGCGGAGGCUGGAGUAUUGCUUGAGUCCAGGAGUUCUGGGCUGUAGUGUGCUAUGCCGAUUAGGUGUCCACACUAAGUUCGGCAUCAAUAUGGUGACCUCCCGGGAGCAGGGGACCAUCAGGUGGCCUAAGGAGGGGUAAACCGGCCUAGGUCGGAAAUGGAGCAGGUCAAAACUCCCACACUGAUCAGUAGUGAGAUGGGGCCUGUGAAUAGCUACUGCACUCCAGCCUGGGCAACAUAGUGAGACCCCAUCUCUU